rnacentral:rRNA from 1 species
GACGAACGUUGGCGGCGUGCUUAAUACAUGCAAGUCAACUGAAGCAGAGGUAGUAAUAUCUCUGUGGAGGUGGCGCACGGGUGAGUAACACGUAGGUAAUCUGCCUUCAGGUCUGACAUAACCCCGAGAAAUCGGGGCUAAUAGCAGAUGAUGCAGCGGCUUGACAUCAAGACAGUUGUUAAAGCUUCGGCGCCUGAAGAUGAGCCUGCGCUGAUUAGCUAGUUGGCGGAGUAACAGCCCACCAAGGCUACGAUCAGUAGCUGGUCUGAGAGGAUGAUCAGCCACACUGGAACUGAGACACGGUCCAGACUCCUACGGGAGCAGCAGUAA